rnacentral:rRNA from 1 species
GAUGAACGCUAGCGGCAGGCCUAACACAUGCAAGUCGAGGGGCAGCACAGAAACAGCAAUGUUUUGGUGGCGACCGGCGGACGGGUGCGUAACGCGUAUGCAACCUACCUUUAACAGGGGGAUAACGGAGAGACAUUUCCACUAAUACCCCAUAACAUCGAUCAACGCCUCUUGCUUGGUUGAAAACUCCGGUGGUUAAAGAUGGGCAUGCGUUGUAUUAGGUAGUUGGUGAGGUAAUGGCUCACCAAGCCUACGAUACAUAGGGGGACUGAGAGGUUAGCCCCCAACACUGGUACUGAGACACGGACCAGACUCCUACGGGAGGCAGCAGUGAGGAAUAUUGGUCAAUGGGGGCAACCCUGAACCAGCCAUGCCGCGUGCAGGAAGACGGCUCUAUGAGUUGUAAACUGCUUUUAAACAGGGAUAAAGCACAGUAUGUAUACUGUGUUGAAGGUACUGUAAGAAUAAGGAUCGGCUAACUCCGUGCCAGCAGCCGCCGUAA